AACGAACGCUGGCGGCAGGCCUAACACAUGCAAGUCGAGCGCCCUUUCGGGGGCGCGGCGGCCGGGUGAGUAACGCGUGGGAAUAUGCCCUUCUCUACGGAAUAGCCUCGGGAAACUGAGAGUAAUACCGUAUACGCCCUGUGGGGGAAAGAUUUAUCGGGGAAGGAUUAGCCCGCGUUGGAUUAGGUAGUUGGUGGGGUAAUGGCCUACCAAGCCGACGAUCCAUAGCUGGUUUGAGAGGAGGAUCAGCCACACUGGGACUGAGACACGGCCCAGACUCCUACGGGAGGCAGCAGUGGGGAAUCUGAGACAAUGGGGGCAACCCUGAGCUAGCCAUGCCGCGUGAGUGAUGAAGGCCUUAGGGUUGUAAAGCUCUUUCAGCUGGGAAGAUAAUGACGGUACCAGCAGAAGAAGCCCCGGCUAACUCCGUG
rnacentral:rRNA from 1 species